rnacentral:rRNA from 1 species
UACGAAGGGGGCUAGCGUUGCUCGGAAUCACUGGGCGUAAAGCGCGCGUAGGCGGUUCUUCAAGUCAGAGGUGAAAGCCCGGUGCUCAACACCGGAAUUGCCUUUGAAACUAGGGAACUUGAAUCCAGGAGAGGUGAGUGGAAUUCCGAGUGUAGAGGUGAAAUUCGUAGAUAUUCGGAAGAACACCAGUGGCGAAGGCGGCUCACUGGACUGGUAUUGACGCUGAGGUGCGAAAGCGUGGGGAGCAAACAGG